GAUGAACGCUGGCGGCGUGCCUAAUACAUGCAAGUCGAGCGAACGGACGAGAGUGCUUGCACUCUCUGAUGUUAGCGGCGGACGGGUGAGUAACACGUGGGUAACCUACCUAUAAGACUGGGAUAACUUCGGGAAAUCGGAGCUAAUACCGGAUAAUAUUUAGCUUCGCAUGAAGCAAUAGUGAAAGACGGUUCUGCUGUCACUUAUAGAUGGACCCGCGGUGUAUUAGCUAGUUGGUGAGGUAACGGCUCACCAAGGCAACGAUACAUAGCCGACCUGAGAGGGUGAUCGGCCACACUGGGACUGAGACACGGCCCAGACUCCUACGGGAGGCAGCAGUAGGGAAUCUUCCGCAAUGGACGAAAGUCUGACGGAACAACGCCGCGUGAGUGAAGAAGGUUUUCGGAUCGUAAAACUCUGUUGUAAGGGAAGAACAAGUACGUUAGUAACUGAACGUACCUUGACGGUACCUUACCAGAAAGCCACGGCUAACUAUGUGCCAGCAGCCGCAGUAA
rnacentral:rRNA from 1 species